GUGAUACCAUUGCUGUUUUAGCUACGAGUGCAGAGCACAGCACUGUAUGGGCUGCUGCAGGGAAAGUUAACAUCCCAGCCUGACCCAGUACAUGGUGCCUGAUGUAAUCCUCUGUGAUGUUUGCGAUUCUGGCUCAGCACAUGGGCACUGGAUGAGGCAGAGCAUACUGCAGGUGAUAAAACAAUGGAUCAUUCAUGCAGAGAGAAAAAUAAAGACAAGGAGACUAUUGAUAAAAGAAGUAACUGUGAGCAUCUUUAGUCCUGAUUUCACAGCUUGA
rnacentral:lncRNA from 1 species